AAAGCGCGAUAGGAAUUGCGAAUUGCAGAAUUCAGUGAAUCAUCGUACUUUUGAACGCAAUUGCGCUCUGGGGAAUUCCCUUGAGCAUGCCUCUUUGAGUGUCGCUGAUUGGUCUCACAAUGUGAGGAGUUGAAAUUUUAAAAAUUUUGAAAUGUACAAGUGGAGGCUCUUUGGAAGAGAAGGGGUUGUUGCUGAGAGGUGCAUCCGUGACUCGGAAGGAGAGACAGUCGCCACUCAAAUGUGUUUGUGACCUCAAGUGAGGUAAGAGGACCCCCUGAACUUAA
rnacentral:misc_RNA from 1 species